GACGAACGCUGGCGGCGUGCCUAAUACAUGCAAGUAGAACGCUGAAGAAAGGAGCUUGCUUCUUUUGGAUGAGUUGCGAACGGGUGAGUAACGCGUAGGUAACCUGCCUUGUAGCGGGGGAUAACUAUUGGAAACGAUAGCUAAUACCGCAUAACAGCUUUUGACACAUGUUAGAAGCUUGAAAGAUGCAAUUGCAUCACUACGAGAUGGACCCGCGUUGUAUUAGCUAGUAGGUAGGGUAACGGCCUACCUAGGCGACGAUACAUAGCCAACCUGAGAGGGUGAUCGGCCACACUGGGACUGAGACACGGCCCAGACUCCUACGGGAGGCAGCAGUAGGGAAUCUUCGGCAAUGGGGGCAACCCUGACCGAGCAACGCCGCGUGAGUGAAGAAGGUUUUCGGAUCGUAAAGCUCUGUUGUAAGAGAAGAACGUGUGUGAGAGUGGAAAGUUCACACAGUGACGGUAACUUACCAGAAAGGGACGGCUAACUACGUGCCAGCCGCCGCAGUAA
rnacentral:rRNA from 1 species